GAGGAAGGUGGGAAUCCUUCCGGCCGAAUAUCUAAGGUUUCCAGGGUAAAGCUGAUCUGCCCUGGGUAAGUCGGGGCCUAAGGCGAGGCCGAGAGGCGUAGUCGAUGGAUAACAGGUAGAGAUUCCUGUACUACGAUAUGACAGAACUGUGGGGACGCAGAAAGAGAGCGCGAGCCGGGAAUGGAAAGACCGGUGCAAGCGAGGUACCAGUCUGGCAGGCAAAUCCGCCAGGCAAUGGGAAGACGUGAUGCGGAGUGAACUAGAAGUAACGAAGCGCGUGAGCUGGCUGCCAAGAAAAGCCGCUAUUGUUCAUAUCGUACCCGUACCGUAAACCGACACAGGUGGAUGAGGAGAGAAUCCUAAGGCCGACGGGAGAAGCAUUGUUAAGGAACUCGGCAAAAUGACUCCGUAACUUCGGGAGAAGGAGUGCCAGUGAGAGCUGGCCGCAGAGAAUAGGCCCAAGCAACUGUUUAGCAAAAACACAGGUCUAUGCAAAACCGAAAGGUGAGGUAUAUGGGCUGACGCCUGCCCGGUGCUGGAAGGUUAAGGGGAGAGGUUAGCGCAAGCGAAGCUUUGAACUUAAGCCCCAGUAAACGGCGGCCGUAACUAUAACGGUCCUAAGGUAGCGAAAUUCCUUGUCGGGUAAGUUCCGACCCGCACGAAAGGCGUAAUGAUUUGGGCACUGUCUCGACAAUGCACCCGGUGAAAUUGAAGUACCAGUGAAGAUGCUGGUUACCUGCGCCAGGACGGAAAGACCCCAUGGAGCUUUACUCCAGCUUGAUACUGGGACUCGGUAUUGCAUGUACAGGAUAGGUGGGAGGCGAAGAAUUGGAGACGCCAGUCUCCAAGGAGCCGCUGUUGGGAUACCACCCUUGCGGUAUUGGGUUUCUAACCAGCAGCCGUGAACCGGCUGGGGGACAAUGUCAGGUGGGGAGUUUGACUGGGGCGGUCGCCUCCGAAAGGGUAUCGGAGGCGCUCAAAGGUUCCCUCAGAAUGGUCGGAAACCAUUCGAAGAGUGCAAAGGCAGAAGGGAGCUUGACUGCGACACCGACGGGUGGAGCAGGUACGAAAGUAGGACUUAGUGAUCCGGUGGUAUAAAGUGGGAUUGCCAUCGCUCAACGGAUAAAAGCUACCCUGGGGAUAACAGGCUUAUCACUCCCAAGAGUUCACAUCGACGGAGUGGUUUGGCACCUCGAUGUCGGCUCAUCGCAUCCUGGGGCUGAAGUAGGUCCCAAGGGUUGGGCUGUUCGCCCAUUAAAGCGGUACGCGAGCUGGGUUCAGAACGUCGUGAGACAGUUCGGUCCCUAUCCGGCGUGGGCGUAGGAUAUUUGAGAGGAGCUGUCCUUAGUACGAGAGGACCGGGAUGGACCGGCCGCUGGUGUACCUGUUGCAUUACCAAGUGCAUGGCAGGGUAGCCAAGCCGGGAAGGGAUAAACGCUGAAGGCAUCUAAGCGUGAAGCCCCCCUCAAGAUGAGAUAUCCCAUGCGAAAGCAGUAAGACCCCUUGAAGACGACGAGGUAGAUAGGGCAGAGGUGGAAGUGUGGCAACACAUGGAGCUGACUGUCACUAAUAGGUCGAGGGCAUAACCAAG
rnacentral:rRNA from 1 species